UAUGCGAUUGGUAAAGUUAAUUCUUGAACACUAUGCGAAUUAAUGNGUAUGAACUGAACGUAUACGAAUGCCAAAGCGUUGUUGCCAAAUAUUCGUAAAGUGAAUCAACCAAUGAAAUGUGUGCUUUAGUUAUUUCUUAUCGGUCUCGCGCGCGCGGUUCUGGUGAUGUUAUGGAAAUCUGUCAAGCGUUAUAACCUAUAAGACGUAAAAAGAUGGCAGAAAAUAAACGAGCAGGAAACAUUUCUAAUGGACAAAGAACAAUUCUUAUUGAAUUUCUGAAUAAACAUCCAGAAAUAGUGUCGGCAAAAUUUUCAGCAAAUUUUUCCUAUAAAGAUGCCCAAAUAUUAUGGUCUGAUGUAACUGAAAUAUUAAAUGCCCUUCCUGGAGCAAAAAAGACCUGGGAACAGUGGCGAAAGUCAAUAAUCUUCUGUGUAAUCUUAC